rnacentral:rRNA from 1 species
GGCCUAUUGGUUUUUUAAUAGGUUUGGCCUGCCCAGUGAUAAUUUUAACGGCCGCGGUAUAUUGACCGUGCAAAGGUAGCAUAAUCAUUAGUCUUUUAAUAGGAGGCUGGAAUGAAAGGUCUAACGAGAAAUUAACUGUCUCAAUUACAAAUUUGAAUUUAUCUUUUAAGUCAAAAGAAUUAAAUUUAAUUGGCGGACGAGAAGACCCUAUAGAGCUUAACAUUUAUUUUUCAUAUAUUUAUUUAGGUUAAUAUUAUUUAUUUAUAUUUAAAAAUUUGUUUUGUUGGGGUGACAAUAAAUAUAUACUUAACUUUUAUUAUAAUGUAAACAUUAAUUUAUGAUUUUUGGAUCCAAAAUUUUUGAUCAUUAGAUUAAGUUACC